AACUGAUUGAUGGUGCUUGCACCUGAUUGACGAUGGAUCACCAGUGAGUGGCGGACGGGUGAGUAACACGUAGGUAACCUGCCCCGGAGCGGGGGAUAACAUUUGGAAACAGAUGCUAAUACCGCAUAACAGCAAAAGCCACAUGGCUUUUGCUUGAAAGAUGGCUUUGGCUAUCACUCUGGGAUGGACCUGCGGUGCAUUAGCUAGUUGGUAAGGUAACGGCUUACCAAGGCGAUGAUGCAUAGCCGAGUUGAGAGACUGAUCGGCCACAAUGGAACUGAGACACGGUCCAUACUCCUACGGGAGGCAGCAGUAGGGAAUCUUCCACAAUGGGCGCAAGCCUGAUGGAGCAACACCGCGUGAGUGAAGAAGGGUUUCGGCUCGUAAAGCUCUGUUGUUGGAGAAGAACGUGCGUGAGAGUAACUGUUCACGCAGUGACGGUAUCCAACCAGAAAGUCACGGCUAACUACGUGCCAGCAGCCGCGGUAAUACGUAGGUGGCAAGCGUUAUUCGGAUUUAUUGGGCGUAAAGCGAGCGCAGGCGGUUGCUUAGGUCUGAUGUGAAAGCCUUCGGCUUAACCGAAGAAGUGCAUCGGAAACCGGGCGACUUGAGUGCAGAAGAGGACAGUGGAACUCCAUGUGUAGCGGUGGAAUGCGUAGAUAUAUGGAAGAACACCAGUGGCGAAGGCGGCUGUCUGGUCUGCAACUGACGCUGAGGCUCGAAAGCAUGGGUAGCGAACAGGAUUAGAUACCCUGGUAGUCCAUGCCGUAAACGAUGAGUGCUAGGUGUUGGAGGGUUUCCGCCCUUCAGUGCCGGAGCUAACGCAUUAAGCACUCCGCCUGGGGAGUACGACCGCAAGGUUGAAACUCAAAGGAAUUGACGGGGGCCCGCACAAGCGGUGGAGCAUGUGGUUUAAUUCGAAGCUACGCGAAGAACCUUACCAGGUCUUGACAUCUUGCGCUAACCUUAGAGAUAAGGCGUUCCCUUCGGGGACGCAAUGACAGGUGGUGCAUGGUCGUCGUCAGCUCGUGUCGUGAGAUGUUGGGUUAAGUCCCGCAACGAGCGCAACCCUUGUUACUAGUUGCCAGCAUUAAGUUGGGCACUCUAGUGAGACUGCCGGUGACAAACCGGAGGAAGGUGGGGACGACGUCAGAUCAUCAUGCCCCUUAUGACCUGGGCUACACACGUGCUACAAUGGACGGUACAACGAGUCGCAAGCUCGCGAGAGUAAGCUAAUCUCUUAAAGCCGUUCUCAGUUCGGACUGUAGGCUGCAACUCGCCUACACGAAGUCGGAAUCGCUAGUAAUCGCGGAUCAGCAUGCCGCGGUGAAUACGUUCCCGGGCCUUGUACACACCGCCCGUCACACCAUGGGAGUUUGUAACGCCCAAAGUCGGUGGCUUAACCUU
rnacentral:rRNA from 2 species